UCCAGGGUAGCAAGUGGACAUGGCAUCUGCCUGGUAAGCGGAACACUGUGGGUUCGAUUCCCAUCCCUGGAC